rnacentral:lncRNA from 1 species
ACCUCAGGACAGUUACACAAGCAGCGUUAGACAAGAUACAUGGGAGCGGGGGUUCCUCUUCUUCACACCCCGCCCCAUACACACACACCACCCCAUAACACUUACAGGCAGGGAAAGGGGUGCCUCUUCUUCACCCCGCCCGAUAACACACACACAACCCCAUAACACUUACAGGCAGGGGAAAGGGGUUCUCUCGCACGCAUGCCCUCUUCUUCACCCCCCCGCCCCAUAACCACACACAAACCCCAUAACACUUACAGGCAGGGAAAGGGGUUUCCUCUCGCACGCAUCCCUCUUCUGCACCCCCCCGCCCCAUAAACACACACACACCCCAUAACACUUAACAGGCAGGGAGAAAGGGGUUCCUUCGCACGCAUGCCCUCUCUUCACCCUCUCCCGCCCAUAACCCACACAACCCAUAACACUUACAGGCAGGGGAAAGGGGUUCCUCUCGCACGCAUGCCCUCUUCUUCACCCUCCGCUCCAUAACACACACAACCCCAUAACACUUACAGCAGGGGAAAGGGUUCCUCUCGCACAGCAUGCCCUCUUCUUCACCCCUCCCGCCCCAUAACCACACACAACCCAUAAACUUGACAGGCAGGGAAAGGGGUUCUCUCGCACGCAUCCUCUUCUUCACCCCCGCCCCAUAACACCACACACCCCAUAACACGUACAGGCAGGGGAAAGGGGUUUCCUCGCACGCACCACCCCCAGACUGUAGAAAUCUAUGAUUAAGACAGAAGGGAGAGCAGGGGGGGGGGGGGGGGGGAGUGAGAAUAGAGGGGUGCGAAAUGGGGUAAGAGGAGGGAAAGGGGGAGAGAUAAGGAAGGGUAUUGGGGAGAGAGGAGGGGAAAAGGGGGAGAGAUAAGGAACGGUAUGGGAGAGAGGAGGGGGAAAGGGGGGAGAUGAUAAAGGAAGGGUAUUGGGAGAGAGGAGGUGAAAAGGGGGAGAGAUAAGAAGGGUAUUGGGAGAGGAGGUGAAAGGGGGAGAUAUAAAGGAGGGUAUUGGGAGAGGGAGGGGGAAAGGGGGAGAGUCUCAUUAUCAUUUUAUCUGUCAUUAGUUACCUCUCAUCAAUUUAUCCUGGUCAUUAGGUUACCUUCUAUCAUUUAUCUGGUCAUUAGUUAUCUGGUCAUUAAGUUACCCCUAUCAUUUAUCUGGUCAUUAAGUUACCCCUAUCAUUUAUCUGGUCAUUAAGUUACCCCUAUCAUUUAUCUGGUCAUUAAGUUACCCCUAUCAUUUAUCUGGUCAUUAAUGUUACCUAUCAUUUAUCUGGUCAUUAAGUUACCCCUAUCAUUUAUCUGGUCAUUAAGUUAUCAUUUCGGUCAUUUAGUUACUGGUCAUUAGUACGCCUAUUAAUGGUUAAUCCCCUAUCAUUUACGUUCAUUAGUAUCUGGUCAUGUAGUUACCUGGAUUAGUUACCUAUCAUUUAUCUCGACAUGCUAUUCUCUGCCAUGUCUUGGAGAAGGUCACAUCAACCUGAACCAUCAAACACAUUAAAUGUAUAGUUUUGACAUGGCCACGAGCAGCACUGCAGAUAUUAA